GUCGGAAAGUUGAAUAUCGAAUUGUUCACGAUUUCUCUUAUUUUGAGAUUCAACUUCUUCGACUGA
rnacentral:pre_miRNA from 1 species